rnacentral:rRNA from 1 species
GGUUAAGCGACUAAGCGUACACGGUGGAUGCCCUGGCAGUCAGAGGCGAUGAAGGACGUGCUAAUCUGCGAUAAGCGUCGGUAAGGUGAUAUGAACCGUUAUAACCGGCGAUUUCCGAAUGGGGAAACCCAGUGUGUUUCGACACACUAUCAUUAACUGAAUCCAUAGGUUAAUGAGGCGAACCGGGGGAACUGAAACAUCUAAGUACCCCGAGGAAAAGAAAUCAACCGAGAUUCCCCCAGUAGCGGCGAGCGAACGGGGAGCAGCCCAGAGCCUGAAUCAGUGUGUGUGUUAGUGGAAGCGUCUGGAAAGGCGCGCGAUACAGGGUGACAGCCCCGUACACAAAAAUGCACAUGCUGUGAGCUCGAUGAGUAGGGCGGGACACGUGGUAUCCUGUCUGAAUAUGGGGGGACCAUCCUCCAAGGCUAAAUACUCCUGACUGACCGAUAGUGAACCAGUACCGUGAGGGAAAGGCGAAAAGAACCCCGGCGAGGGGAGUGAAAAAGAACCUGAAACCGUGUACGUACAAGCAGUGGGAGCACGCUUAGGCGUGUGACUGCGUACCUUUUGUAUAAUGGGUCAGCGACUUAUAUUCUGUAGCAAGGUUAACCGAAUAGGGGAGCCGAAGGGAAACCGAGUCUUAACUGGGCGUUAAGUUGCAGGGUAUAGACCCGAAACCCGGUGAUCUAGCCAUGGGCAGGUUGAAGGUUGGGUAACACUAACUGGAGGACCGAACCGACUAAUGUUGAAAAAUUAGCGGAUGACUUGUGGCUGGGGGUGAAAGGCCAAUCAAACCGGGAGAUAGCUGGUUCUCCCCGAAAGCUAUUUAGGUAGCGCCUCGUGAAUUCAUCUCCGGGGGUAGAGCACUGUUUCGGCAAGGGGGUCAUCCCGACUUACCAACCCGAUGCAAACUGCGAAUACCGGAGAAUGUUAUCACGGGAGACACACGGCGGGUGCUAACGUCCGUCGUGAAGAGGGAAACAACCCAGACCGCCAGCUAAGGUCCCAAAGUCAUGGUUAAGUGGGAAACGAUGUGGGAAGGCCCAGACAGCCAGGAUGUUGGCUUAGAAGCAGCCAUCAUUUAAAGAAAGCGUAAUAGCUCACUGGUCGAGUCGGCCUGCGCGGAAGAUGUAACGGGGCUAAACCAUGCACCGAAGCUGCGGCAGCGACGCUGAUGCGUUGUUGGGUAGGGGAGCGUUCUGUAAGCCUGCGAAGGUGUGCUGUGAGGCAUGCUGGAGGUAUCAGAAGUGCGAAUGCUGACAUAAGUAACGAUAAAGCGGGUGAAAAGCCCGCUCGCCGGAAGACCAAGGGUUCCUGUCCAACGUUAAUCGGGGCAGGGUGAGUCGACCCCUAAGGCGAGGCCGAAAGGCGUAGUCGAUGGGAAACAGGUUAAUAUUCCUGUACUUGGUGUUACUGCGAAGGGGGGACGGAGAAGGCUAUGUUGGCCGGGCGACGGUUGUCCCGGUUUAAGCGUGUAGGCUGGUUUUCCAGGCAAAUCCGGAAAAUCAAGGCUGAGGCGUGAUGACGAGGCACUACGGUGCUGAAGCAACAAAUGCCCUGCUUCCAGGAAAAGCCUCUAAGCAUCAGGUAACAUCAAAUCGUACCCCAAACCGACACAGGUGGUCAGGUAGAGAAUACCAAGGCGCUUGAGAGAACUCGGGUGAAGGAACUAGGCAAAAUGGUGCCGUAACUUCGGGAGAAGGCACGCUGAUAUGUAGGUGAAGCGACUUGCUCGUGGAGCUGAAAUCAGUCGAAGAUACCAGCUGGCUGCAACUGUUUAUUAAAAACACAGCACUGUGCAAACACGAAAGUGGACGUAUACGGUGUGACGCCUGCCCGGUGCCGGAAGGUUAAUUGAUGGGGUCAGCGCAAGCGAAGCUCUUGAUCGAAGCCCCGGUAAACGGCGGCCGUAACUAUAACGGUCCUAAGGUAGCGAAAUUCCUUGUCGGGUAAGUUCCGACCUGCACGAAUGGCGUAAUGAUGGCCAGGCUGUCUCCACCCGAGACUCAGUGAAAUUGAACUCGCUGUGAAGAUGCAGUGUACCCGCGGCAAGACGGAAAGACCCCGUGAACCUUUACUAUAGCUUGACACUGAACAUUGAGCCUUGAUGUGUAGGAUAGGUGGGAGGCUUGGAAGUGUGGACGCCAGUCUGCAUGGAGCCGACCUUGAAAUACCACCCUUUAAUGUUUGAUGUUCUAACGUUGACCCGUAAUCCGGGUUGCGGACAGUGUCUGGUGGGUAGUUUGACUGGGGCGGUCUCCUCCUAAAGAGUAACGGAGGAGCACGAAGGUUGGCUAAUCCUGGUCGGACAUCAGGAGGUUAGUGCAAUGGCAUAAGCCAGCUUGACUGCGAGCGUGACGGCGCGAGCAGGUGCGAAAGCAGGUCAUAGUGAUCCGGUGGUUCUGAAUGGAAGGGCCAUCGCUCAACGGAUAAAAGGUACUCCGGGGAUAACAGGCUGAUACCGCCCAAGAGUUCAUAUCGACGGCGGUGUUUGGCACCUCGAUGUCGGCUCAUCACAUCCUGGGGCUGAAGUAGGUCCCAAGGGUAUGGCUGUUCGCCAUUUAAAGUGGUACGCGAGCUGGGUUUAGAACGUCGUGAGACAGUUCGGUCCCUAUCUGCCGUGGGCGCUGGAGAACUGAGGGGGGCUGCUCCUAGUACGAGAGGACCGGAGUGGACGCAUCACUGGUGUUCGGGUUGUCAUGCCAAUGGCACUGCCCGGUAGCUAAAUGCGGAAGAGAUAAGUGCUGAAAGCAUCUAAGCACGAAACUUGCCCCGAGAUGAGUUCUCCCUGACUCCUUGAGAGUCCUGAAGGAACGUUGAAGACGACGACGUUGAUAGGCCGGGUGUGUAAGCGCAGCGAUGCGUUGAGCUAACCGGUACUAAUGAACCGUGAGGCUUAACCUU